AUUGAACGCUGGCGGCAUGCUUUACACAUGCAAGUCGAACGGUAACAGGCCUUCGGGUGCUGACGAGUGGCGAACGGGUGAGUAAUGCAUCGGAACGUGCCCAGAGGUGGGGGAUAACGCAGCGAAAGCUGUGCUAAUACCUCAUGUGAUCUGAGGAUGAAAGCGGGGGACCAAGCAGCAAUGUUUGGCCUCGCGCCUCUGGAGCGGCCGAUGUCAGAUUAGGUAGUUGGUGGGGUAAAGGCCUACCAAGCCGACGAUCUGUAGCUGGUCUGAGAGGACGACCAGCCACACUGGGACUGAGACACGGCCCAGACUCCUACGGGAGGCAGCAGUGGGGAAUUUUGGACAAUGGGCGCAAGCCUGAUCCAGCAAUGCCGCGUGCGGGAAGAAGGCCUUCGGGUUGUAAACCGCUUUUGUACGGAAAGAAAAGGCUCUGGCUAAUACCUGGGGCUGAUGACGGUACCGUAAGAAUAAGCACCGGCUAACUACGUG
rnacentral:rRNA from 1 species